AUGGCAACGCCAUCCAUUUCCUUCUUGUCAUUUUCUUUUUCAUUUCGCCUGAUGCGCAACAGCAUCUAACUUUAAAAUUUUAUUUUUCUGAAUCGGGUCUCUGAGCUAUUUCUCUUUUCAAAGAAAUAGCUACUGGGGUAAGCCAUGUAGCCUACACGCCCCCUGAUGGCCCACCCGACGCAACAGAUUCAGGCAUUGUGUUCCAGAAUUGAUGGUAGGGAAUACACCUUCAAUUCUAUUGUGGUUACUGUCAAUGCCCAAUCGAUAAACAUUUUUGUUAUCACUUCACAGUGAAUAGGGGUCUUAUCAUUAUGCCAGCCAUACACGAUACAUUCUACAUCAGAAACGCCUCAGGAUGAACACAAUGGACCUAUAGGUCUCCGAGUGGAGCGGUUGCCAUAUGGUAGCCGCGCGUCCUUUAACCUAACCUAGUUCAAAUCUGCAACGUUGCAAUAUUUAUAUUCGGAACCACCCCCCAUAAAGGGUCAACAGUUUGAAUAAUCGUAACUCGAGGCUGGGUGUAUACAUCAGUCGGCAAAACCAAUUGAUACUAUUUUACUUGUUAAAAGUUACAUUUCAUUUAGUUUGUUAAAAUAAUGAUAAAAUUAGGAGGAUAAGGUCAUCAUUAUUGGCCUGGCUGGAAAUUAGCAUCCAAAGUAAAUAAAAAUACCCAUUAAUUUGAAUACCAGA